UACGUAGGUGGCAAGCGUUGUCCGGAUUUACUGGGCGUAAAGGGCGUGCAGGCGGUCUGUUAAGUCUAGGGUGAAAGCUCCCGGCUCAACUGGGAGAGGGCCUUGGAUACUGGCAGACUUGAGGAGAGUAGAGGAGAGUGGAAUUCCCGGUGUAGCAGUGAAAUGCGUAGAGAUCGGGAGGAACAUCAGUUGCGAAGGCGGCUCUCUGGACCAGUACUGACGCUGAGGCACGAAAGCGUGGGGAGCAAACAGG
rnacentral:rRNA from 1 species